ACGAACAAAGUAACGUACGAAAUAACUGGAGCCUGACCAAUAAUCUGAUAAUAAUAAUAACAAUAAUAAUAAUAAUAAUGGCCAAUAUACAUAUAUACAUAUAUAUAUAUAUAUAUAUAUAUAUAUAUAUAUAUAUAUAUAUAUAUAUAUACAUACAUAUAUUUAUAAUUGUGUCAGUGAUUCCUAAGAUGUCUUUAUCAAACCCUUAUGACCCUCAUUGUACCCUUAUUUAACAUUAACACUUAAAUUGAGUCUUGAUAUUUUACAGUUUAACCAGUGGCAGUCCUGUGGGAGGAAGCCAUCGAUGAGGCAUUUGAAAGGAAAAGGUUGCGAUAUGCAAACUUGGCUGCCAAAGCAGAGGACCGGGGCUGGAAAGUAAACGUGCGUCCAGUGCAAGUGGGCUGCAGGGGCUUUGUAGCUAGUUCCACCACAAGGCUACUAAAAGAGCUUGGAAUCAGAGGACAGGCUCAGCGGAAGACCAUCAAAGACUGUCAGCUGUCAGCUGUGGCUGAAGCGGAAGGAGACUGUAUGGGCUGCCAAGUGACCUCAUGGAGCCUCCAGUGCGACACACACCCAGGUCUGUGUCUCAGCCUGCGGUGGGCCAGCCUUGGGUGAGGGUGUAUUGUGAUAAAAGGCCGAAACACCCAAUGAGGCCGGGGUGCACAACUGAUGAGGUGUCGUAUUGGAGGCACCAGGCGGUCAUCCCCCAAUCCAACCCCACCCAAGAGGACAUCUCCAACAACAGCGCUUGUGCUGAAUAUCAAGGGAUUCUAACAUCUAGUCCUAGGUCUCCAGUUGUGGCUCUGGACUCUGGUGGCGAUCAGCAGCCAGGUGAGCAGCAGGGAGCAACACGCCAACAUCUCGCCUUUUUUCCGUCAACAGUGGGGAUUUGCUUCCUCCUCACAAGUCUUCCUCAUGACCUACCGCCUGAGGUUCAAGUCAACGGACAGACGAGUAAAGACGACCUGCAUCAGAUACCUUCGACUGUCUUCUUCCCCUUCUCUGCAGUAGUUAUUCAAACGUCUGCGUUAAAAAACAAAAAAGAUCAGAUCUCAGUUGUUGUCUGA
rnacentral:lncRNA from 1 species